rnacentral:lncRNA from 1 species
AGUGUGCCCUUUCCCUCCUGCCUUUUUAGUAGCUCCGGGUAAAUAUUGAUUUGCCUCCAGUUUACCUCCUCCCUGAAUGGCCGUUUGCAGACUGAGGAACUAGCCUCUGGAGCGACUCGAUUUUUGUGUUACUUUCCGGCCCGUUCGCCCCCCUUUCUUCCUCCCUUCCUCCAAGUGGCAUUGUAAAACUCACAGUGACAAAGAAACAGGGUAGGGUUCGAGGCCCCAGUUCCUGAGAGGUUGAGGGCUGUUUUACAUACAGGUCAGACACGGCUAGAGGCCAAGGUCAAGUUGAAAGUUGCAGUCUAGCCAGCGUGAGAACUGCCAUGCAAGCCUGGAGCCCCCCCCCCCUGCCGAUAAGCCCACUGCUCACCUCCCUUGU